UUGGAGGGCAAGUCUGGUGCCAGCAGCCGCGGUAAUUCCAGCUCCAAUAGCGUAUAUUAAAGUUGUUGCAGUUAAAAAGCUCGUAGUUGAAUUUCGGGGACAGCAGGUUGGUCGUGCCUCUGGUACGCACUGGUUUCGCUGAUUCCUCCUUUCCGAAGAACUGUAAUGUCAUUAAUUUGGUGUUGCAGGGAAACAGGACUGUUACUUUGAAAAAAUUAGAGUGUUUAAAGCAAGCUAACGCUUGAAUACAUUAGCAUGGAAUAAUGAAAUAGGACGUUUGAUCCUAUUUUGUUGGUUUCUAGGAUUGACGUAAUGAUUAAUAGGGAUAGUUGGGGGCAUUAGUAUUCAAUUGUCAGAGGUGAAAUUCUUGGAUUUAUUGAAGACUAACUACUGCGAAAGCAUUUGCCAAGGAUGUUUUCAUUAAUCAAGAACGAAAGUUAGGGGAUCGAAGACGAUCAGAUACCGUCGUAGUCUUAACCAUAAACUAUGCCGACUAGGGAUCGGAUGGUGUUAAUUUUUUAAUGACUCAUUCGGCGCCUUACGGGAAAC
rnacentral:rRNA from 1 species